GAUCAUGGCUCAGGAUGAACGCUGGCGGCGUGCUUAAUACAUGCAAGUCGAACGAACAUUAAGAGUGCUUGCACUUUUAAUGUUAGUGGCGAACGGGUGAGUAAUACAUAGGCAACUUGCCCCAAGGACUGGGAUAACACUUAGAAAUGAGUGCUAAUACCGGAUAGGUAAUACAAAGGCAUCUUAGUAUUAUUAAAGUUGGGUAUCCAACACCAUGGGAUGGGCUUAUGCUGUAUUAG
rnacentral:rRNA from 1 species